UGCCCGACCGCCAGGCGGUGCCCACAGGGCCUCCUGCAGGACUAGCUGAGCCGCAGCCUUCUCUGUACCUGCUGGGCUGCCCCCUACUACCGGCAUCAUUCUGUGCCUUUCGAGGUCCCAGAAGGCUGGAGGGCCACAUUCACCCAGACACCGGCAAAAGCCACUUGAAAAGGGAUGUGUUCCAACCAGGUCAGUCGUGGUGAUUCCCCCCCGCCCCCCCGACAUCCAGUCCACCACCAGGUGCUGGGGAUUUUCCUCAGAAGCUUCUGCAUCCAGCCCCUCCUCUGCACCUCCACUGCCUUGUCAAACCCUCAGCAUCAGUCAACAGGACGCCAGCAGUAACUUCCUAUCCCGUGGCGGCUGAUUCUCCAAGUGACAGCUCUGUGCCUCUCCUGCACCUGCUGACAAGCCAACUGAUGUCCUUGGCCCAUAGGUAAUCCACACUCCAGGAGUGAUGCCCCAAAGCGCCCACCUUCCCACUCACCUGGAAGAAAUUCUGAGGCACAACCACCCCUGAUCACAGAAAAGGAGAAAGAACAGAAAGAUACUCCUGAAGCCAAGGUCAAAAGGAAGAGACCAAAGAGAGCACACAAAGGCCAAGGAGACUAAGAAGCAGACCAAUAAUGAGUUAACAGGUAAAACAAUCGGGGACACCUAACCUCUCCCCAGCCCACUGUUCAUAUUUGUGGUGGACGUAAUUUGAUAAGACAUAAAAACUUCCAAAAAUUUGUAGCCCCUGGUGGGUUGGAGAGAGGAAGCAGAAUCCAGGAGUCUGGAAAUCAACACCUAAAAUCCAGAGGCAGGAGCUAAGCCGUGAGGCGUGGGGACGGAAGACAGAACUCCCCACAGGAAACUAGAUCACCUACUCCAUGGACCUCAUCUGGAUGUCUCCAAUCUGCUGGAAGGCACAAGGCUUGAGGCAGACAGGAUGCUCUCCCCACCCGCUAGGCCUCCCUGCUGUCCUCCUCUGAGAUGGCUGGGCUCUUCCAGGGGGUGGACAGUCAAGGCCAGACUCACCUGGACACGUGGAAGGGUGCUUGAGGACAUAGAUGACAGCCUCAGCCACAUCUUCAGGUUUGAGACACUGGAGAGUAUGGGAGGAAAGAGGGAUGGUGAGGGCAGAGUGAACCUCCCACCUCUGAUGUCCUCUCCAACAUCUUCAUCCCCACCCCAACCCUCCAGGAGGGGUGACAGGCUGGCUAGAAGAGUGUGGUCUAAAGGCCAGGGUUCCCUCUGCAUUCACUUAGGGAGUGAGUGGCUCACUGGCCUCAGAGUGAGGCCUCACCUUUAUGCGUUCAUAGAUGGAAGCUGCCUUCUCAGGGUCCUUGUUGUGGAGUUUGAAGGAGAAUUGUGUCUCCGCCACUUCUGGAGAGAUGCACUGGACCAACAGAGAGGGCCUGCUCAGGAGCUGAGCUGAGCCCUGCCUCCAUCCCAGUCAGAAGCUAGACUUAGGGGAGAGACAGGAUGGAAAACACGGGGGCCCCCCUGCUUCACAGUGAUGGCUGCCCAAUGUCCAGCAGCCACCUCCUCCUCCCAAAGCUGCCACUAGCAAUGAUCACAAUGACACCUACCACCUAUGGAGCCCUUCUCAGGUAAGUGUUUUACAAAAUGGUGUCCCUUAAGACUUCAUCACUGGGUUGGUAUCACCAUCUCCAUUUUACAAAUGAGUAAGGCUGAGGCUUGGAGGGGUUAAGUGAGUUGCCCAAGGUCAUGUGGCCUUUCAGGGAAGAGCCCAGAGUCUGGGUUUACAGCCACAGUUUCCCACAGCCCCUGCUCUCCUUCAGUCUCACCUACUGUGUUCCCUUCUGGUCAGCCCCCUCCCAUCUCAAAGUCAGUGACAUGAAGCUCAAAGGGCUACUCAGGGUCAUGCCAGCAGCAGCAGAGCCCAGGAGCUCUGUGCCCCUCACACUCCCAGCAGGGCAUCCUGAACAGUAUGAGUGUGGGGUGCAGAAGGCCUGUGCCUACCCUGUCCCCACCAGGGCCAGGCCUCACCCUCACUGUGGCUCAAAUGUGGGUCUGGGCCUCCCGAAGCUCUUGCCUCAGUCCCUCUGUCAGUGUGGUGAUGGCAUACUUGGUAGCACUAUAGAAAUGGAUCACAGAGUGGGGUGACACUUGGUGACCAGACAUGCUGCGUGGAGGAAAGGAGGGGAAAGAAGAGAGUGAAGCUGCUGAUGGACCAGCAGUGCCCCCUGCUGGACCAGUCAGCCCCACCACCUAGAUGCUGCAGGAAAGUCUUCUCAAGGGGACCUCUUUACAGGCCAUCCUGGUGGCCCAAUGAUGUAGCUCCAGCUAUUCAAGCAGCUCCUGUAAGUCCUGCUCUUCCUAGAAGUCCAACUAGGGGCUGGCACUUGAUAUACACUAUUUUUCUCUCGCCAUAAUUGUGCCAUUUGGCUGUUAACUGGGUAUUAAGUCCCUAUUUCACCACCAAUGAAACUGAUGUCCAAAGAGGUCAAAUGAACUGCAACAGAUCACUCAGCUUGGAGGGUGAGUGGUGAUCUGAGCUUUAGCCCUUGUCCACCUGCCUCACCUGUUGAUAUUAAUGAUGUGCCCGUCAUCCACCUUCCAUUCCUUCAUGGACUGGUAGGCUUCCCGUGUGCAGAUGCUGAGGGCCAGCAUGUUCACCUGCAGCCCAGGGAGGGCAGUGGGGUAUCUCUAGCUUGGGCCCAUCUGAGCAGGUAAUAGAGCCACAGAGCCCGUCCAGGGGAGUGGCAUUCCAAAACAGUGUCCAGGUCCUACCUGAGACCAACAAUGGUUCCAGGGUACCUUGCCUUAGGUGCCUCUCCCCCUAAAGCCACCAGCCCCAGCUGAGAGCAGUGCUAAUUCCUCUCCCCAGGUAACCCCCACCUCCAAGAUUCUGCAAACAGCAGUGGGAAACUCCCAAACUCAUCCAUGACCCAGGAAACCUCCCUGUCUUGGAUGUCUCCUCUACAAACAACAGAACCUCUGCCUUAGAGAACUAUCUCCUUUUCUUCCUCAAAUACCCUCUCCUCUCUUAUCUGGGUCAGCUUCCCUGGCCUUGCUCUCUAAAAAGCCUAAAAUCCAGGGCGCCUGGGUGGCUCAGUCAGUUAAGCGUCUGACUUCAGCUCAGGUCAUGAUCUAGUGGUUUGUGGGUUCGAGCCCUGCAUGGGGGAGUGCACUGACAGCUCAG